rnacentral:rRNA from 1 species
UGGGGAAUAUUGCACAAUGGGCGCAAGCCUGAUGCAGCCAUGCCGCGUGUGUGAAGAAGGCCUUCGGGUUGUAAAGCACUUUCAGCGGGGAGGAAGGCGAUAAGGUUAAUAACCUUGUCGAUUGACGUUACCCGCAGAAGAAGCACCGGCUAACUCCGUGCCAGCAGCCGCGGUAAUACGGAGGGUGCAAGCGUUAAUCGGAAUUACUGGGCGUAAAGCGCACGCAGGCGGUCUGUCAAGUCGGAUGUGAAAUCCCCGGGCUCAACCUGGGAACUGCAUUCGAAACUGGCAGGCUAGAGUCUUGUAGAGGGGGGUAGAAUUCCAGGUGUAGCGGUGAAAUGCGUAGAGAUCUGGAGGAACACCGGUGGCGAAGGCGGCCCCCUGGACAAAGACUGACGCUCAGGUGCGAAAGCGUGGGGAGCAAACAGG